rnacentral:rRNA from 1 species
UUUGUGGAGAGUUUGAUCCUGGCUCAGGACGAACGCUGGCGGCGUGCUUAACACAUGCAAGUCGAACGCUGAAACCGG